UGGGGUAUCGCCAAGCGGUAAGGCACCGGAUUCUGAUUCCGGCAUUCCGAGGUUCGAAUCCUCGUACCCCCCCGA
rnacentral:tRNA from 1 species